GGAUGUUUGGUGUUCUCUCUGUACGAUUCGCUUUGCCCAUUAUUAAUGUAACAAUGGGCAAUGCUAAUUGUAAAGAGAUGCUGCCAUAUAUUCC